rnacentral:rRNA from 1 species
UACGGGGGGGGCAAGCGUUGUUCGGAAUUACUGGGCGUAAAGGGCGCGUAGGCGGCCUUCUAAGUCAGACGUGAAAUCCCUCGGCUCAACCGAGGAACUGCGUCUGAUACUGGAAGGCUUGAAUCCGGGAGAGGGAUGUGGAAUUCCAGGUGUAGCGGUGAAAUGCGUAGAUAUCUGGAGGAACACCGGUGGCGAAGGCGGAUCUCUGGGCCAUAACUGACGCUGAGGAGCGAAAGCAUGGGGAGCGAACAGG